rnacentral:rRNA from 1 species
GACGGAGGGGGCAAGCGUUGUCCGGACUCACUGGGCGUAAAGGGAGCGUAGGUGGUGGGGUAAGCCCCGCGGGAAAGCUCCAGGCUUAACCUGGAAAGGUCGCGGGGGACUGCUCCGCUCGAGGACGGGAGAGGAGCGCGGAAUUCCCGGUGUAGCGGUGAAAUGCGUAGAGAUCGGGAGGAAGGCCGGUGGCGAAGGCGGCGCUCUGGAACGGCCCUGACACUGAGGCUCGAAAGCGUGGGGAGCAAACAGG